UACGUAGGGACCGAGCGUUGUCCGGAAUCAUUGGGCGUAAAGAGCGUGUAGGCGGCCUUUUAAGUCCUGCGUGAAAUCCUGCGGCUCAACCGCAGACGGUCGUGGGAAACUGGAAGGCUAGAGUGCGGGAGAGGAGAGUGGAAUUCCCGGUGUAGCGGUGAAAUGCGCAGAUAUCGGGAAGAACACCCGUGGCGAAGGCGGCGAUCUGGGUCGAUACUGACGCUGAGGUGCGAAAGCGUGGGGAGCAAACAGG
rnacentral:rRNA from 1 species